GGAGUAGUACUCAAGAGGCUGAAGAGGCGCCCCUGCUAAGGGUGUAGGUCGGGUAACUGGCGCGCGAGUUCAAAUCUCGCCUACUCCGCCA
rnacentral:tRNA from 1 species